AGUAGGGAAUCUUCCGCAAUGGACGAAAGUCUGACGGAGCAACGCCGCGUGUAUGAAGAAGGUUUUCGGAUCGUAAAGUACUGUUGUUAGAGAAGAACAAGGAUAAGAGUAACUGCUUGUCCCUUGACGGUAUCUAACCAGAAAGCCACGGCUAACUACGUGCCAGCAGCCGCGGUAAUACGUAGGUGGCAAGCGUUGUCCGGAUUUAUUGGGCGUAAAGCGCGCGCAGGCGGUCUUUUAAGUCUGAUGUGAAAGCCCCCGGCUUAACCGGGGAGGGUCAUUGGAAACUGGAAGACUGGAGUGCAGAAGAGGAGAGUGGAAUUCCACGUGUAGCGGUGAAAUGCGUAGAUAUGUGGAGGAACACCAGUGGCGAAGGCGACUCUCUGGUCUGUAACUGACGCUGAGGCGCGAAAGCGUGGGGAGCAAA
rnacentral:rRNA from 1 species